rnacentral:misc_RNA from 1 species
ACCGGUAAACGUGGCUUCCUACGAAUCGUUCGGCGUGGGAAUACGCGUGCUGCUCGACGGGUGCUGGGGCUUUGCCGCUACGGACGAUCUUUCCACGCGCGGCAUCGAGAAGGCUGCUUCUCUUGCACUCGAGAUUGCCCGUUCGGGCGCCAUCGCCAGGAGCUCGGGCGUGACGCUCGCGCCCGAAGCACCGCAUAUCGCCAGUUGGACCUCACCAUGUAACAUCGAUCCGUUCUCCACGUCGGUGGAGCAGAAUCUGUCCCUUCUGAUGAGCAUCG